AACGAACGCUGGCGGCAGGCUUAACACAUGCAAGUCGAACGCCCCGCAAGGGGAGUGGCAGACGGGUGAGUAACGAGUGGGAGCAUACACUUUCCUGCGGAAUAGAGCUGGGAAAACGGAAUUAAUACCGCAUACGCCCUACGGGGGAAAGAUUUAUCGGGGAAGGAUUGGCCCGCGUUGGAUUAGCUAUUUGGUGGGGUAAAGGCCUACCAACGCGACGAUCCAUAGCUGGUCUGAGAGGAUGAUCAGCCACAUUGGGACUGAGACACGGCCCAAACUCCUACGGUAGGCAGCAUUGGGGAAUAUUGGUCAAUGGGCGCAAGCCUGAUCCAGCCAUGCCGCGUGAGUGGUGAAGGCCUUAGGGUUGUAAAGCUCUUUCACCGAUGAAGAUAAUGACGGUAGUCGGAGAAGAAGCCCCGGCUAACUUCGUGCCAGCCGCCGCGGUAACAC
rnacentral:rRNA from 1 species